rnacentral:rRNA from 1 species
GGCAAAGGGUACCGCUAACCAUGCAAGUCGAGCGGUAAGGCCCUUCGGGGUACACGAGCGGCGAACGGGUGAGUAACACGUGAGCAACCUGCCCCUGACUCUGGGAUAAGCGGUGGAAACGCCGUCUAAUACCGGAUACGACCUUCCGCCUCAUGGUGGAGGGUGGAAAGUUUUUUCGGUCAGGGAUGGGCUCGCGGCCUAUCAGCUUGUUGGUGGGGUAACGGCCUACCAAGGCGAUUACGGGUAGCCGGCCUGAGAGGGCGACCGGCCACACUGGGACUGAGACACGGCCCAGACUCCUGCGGGAGGCAGCAGUGGGGAAUAUUGCGCAAUGGGCGAAAGCCUGACGCAGCGACGCCGCGUGGGGGAUGACGGCCUUCGGGUUGUAAACCUCUUUUACCACCAACGCAGGCUCCGGGUUCUCUCGGGGUUGACGGUAGGUGGGGAAUAAGGACCGGCUAACUACGUGCCAGCAGCCGCGGUAAUACGUAGGGUCCGAGCGUUGUCCGGAAUUAUUGGGCGUAAAGAGCUCGUAGGCGGCGUGUCGCGUCUGCUGUGAAAGACCGGGGCUUAACUCCGGUUCUGCAGUGGAUACGGGCAUGCUAGAGGUAGGUAGGGGAGACUGGAAUUCCUGGUGUAGCGGUGAAAUGCGCAGAUAUCAGGAGGAACACCGGUGGCGAAGGCGGGUCUCUGGGCCUUACCUGACGCUGAGGAGCGAAAGCAUGGGGAGCGAACAGGAUUAGAUACCCUGGUAGUCCAUGCCGUAAACGUUGGGCGCUAGGUGUGGGGACUUUCCACGGUUUCCGCGCCGUAGCUAACGCAUUAAGCGCCCCGCCUGGGGAGUACGGCCGCAAGGCUAAAACUCAAAGGAAUUGACGGGGGCCCGCACAAGCGGCGGAGCAUGUUGCUUAAUUCGACGCAACGCGAAGAACCUUACCAAGGUUUGACAUCACCCGUGGACCUGUAGAGAUACAGGGUCAUUUAGUUGGUGGGUGACAGGUGGUGCAUGGCUGUCGUCAGCUCGUGUCGUGAGAUGUUGGGUUAAGUCCCGCAACGAGCGCAACCCUUGUUCCAUGUUGCCAGCACGUAAUGGUGGGGACUCAUGGGAGACUGCCGGGGUCAACUCGGAAGGAAGGUGGGGACGACGUCAAGUCAUCAUGCCCCUUAUGUCUUGGGCUGCAAACAUGCUACAAUGGGCCGGUACAAUGG